CAGGCCUAACACAUGCAAGUCGAGCGGAUGAAGGGAGCUUGCUCCUGGAUUCAGCGGCGGACGGGUGAGUAAUGCCUAAGAAUCUGCCUGGUAGUGGGGGAUAACGUCCGGAAACGGGCGCUAAUACCGCAUACGUCCUGAGGGAGAAAGUGGGGGAUCUUCGGACCUCACGCUAUCAGAUGAGCCUAGGUCGGAUUAGCUAGUUGGUGGGGUAAAGGCCUACCAAGGCGACGAUCCGUAACUGGUCUGAGAGGAUGAUCAGUCACACUGGAACUGAGACACGGUCCAGACUCCUACGGGAGGCAGCAGUGGGGAAUAUUGGACAAUGGGCGAAAGCCUGAUCCAGCCACGCCGCGUGUGUGAAGAAGGUCUUCGGAUUGUAAAGCACUUUAAGUUGGGAGGAAGGGCAGUAAGUUAAUACCUUGCUGUUUUGACGUUACCAACAGAAUACGCACCGGCUAACUUCGUGCCAGCAGCCGCGGUAAUAC
rnacentral:rRNA from 1 species